CUCUGCUGUCCGGAGUUUUCCUCUCACUAUCGCUCCCACGACGGUUCUGCAAUGGCAGGCAUGUGAGAUAAAGCAUUGACGAGGCACAGUAGUUACAGAUAGACAGAGACAAUAUAUGGGAUGAGGUGACAGAUGAGGACUGGCCCCAGCUGUUUCACUGUCACCAGUGACUGAUGGAGAAUUCUGCUGUCUUCCUUGUGAUCAUCUCAUCCAUGACUGCCCAGCUGUGGCUUGCUUUGGACGUGUAAAGGCGGCAACUGAGAUGCUUUGCUCAUAGCAUGAUAAUUUGUGACUUACACAGCAAAUCCCUGUUGCUUGCGUCUGCAUUCGGGGAUAGUUGUUUUCCUCCAGCCUGAGUUGUGGCCCCCUCCACACUUUGCUUGGCCUUUUCCAUCCCAUGAUCCUCAGUAGUCUCCACCUUCACCAAGGUUAGGGAAAUGAGCGUGCAUGCUGAUGUAACAGAUGGCGUCUGAGAUGGAGAGGAAGUGGCUUUUGGGGCAGCGAGACAGGAAGUGAGCCCAUACAAAAGCCUGCUACCAAGACUACAUACUUCCAGACUAAAGCUCGCAAGCAAGAGAUACUCCCUUUAUACCAUCAACUACAGAGAAGAAGAGCUGAAUAAAAUAAUUAGGGCUGCCCAGGAACACCUGAAGCAUCUACCUAAAAAAGGUACAGACGGGGUGACUUGACCCAGAUACUGAAGACUCAGCACUUACUUCUCUACAUUACAUCGAUCUCAUCGAAGCCCUUCUAAUUCCUACUUAGACAUAUUUUUGCCUCGAGAAAUAAGCUUUGUGUAUGUUCUUUUUCUUGAGAAGACAUUCGAGCAAAUCUUUGCCAUCUUGCAGGAACUGAUUAUCAUGUAGGAGGAAAAAGAACAGACUCGCUGUAUACAUUUGUUUUAAUAAGCAUCAGGUGGACUCACCUUGCACGCCGUGGAUGUAAACCUUCAGGCCAGUCCUGAGCUGCUGGUCCUCGACCCUCUCCAGCUGUUUCAACACUUUGGUGAAAGUUUUCUGUAGGCUUUCAUGG